rnacentral:rRNA from 1 species
AUUGAACGCUGGCGGCAGGCCUAACACAUGCAAGUCGAACGCGGGGCACACGGGUGAGUAGUGUCGGGAACACUGCCUGAUAGGGGGGUAUCACUGCUAGAACGGGUCGCUAAUCCCGCAUACCAUCGGAUGUGCCCGGGUGGGAUUAGCUAGUAGGUGGGGUAACGGCUCACCAAGGCGACGCUCCCUAGCUGGUCUGAGGGGAUGACCAGCCACACCGGAACUGAGACACGGUCCAGACUCCUACGGGAGGCAGCAGUGGGGAAUAUUGCACAAUGGGGGCAAGCCUGAUGCAGCCAUGCCGCGUGUAUGAAGAAGGCCUUCGGGUUGUAAAGUACUUUCAGCGGUGAGGCGUUACCUGCAGAAGAAGCACCGGCUAACUCCGUGCCAGCAGCCGCGGUAAUAC